UAGAGAUUCUCAACUAAUUAAUUCUUCAAAGGCUCUAUUUUCAGAUCAGGUCACAUUCCGAGCAUCCGAGUGGACGUGAACUCUGGUGGACGCUGUUCAACUCCCACCUGGGUGUAGAGCGUGGCGUAGAGAACUUGAUGGCAGGAGGGGUGCCUGACGGAGGGAGCGGAGAAAGAGGACGGUACAAGAUCGAAAGCACAAGGAGAGGACCGGGCUUGACCAAAGACGACAUUCCACUGGCAGGGUCAGCUGCAAACGGGAGCAGAAAGGUGAAGGAAGACGCGGCGAGGAGAGAGAUGGACCGGGUCAGAGAGAGAGAGAGAGAGGAAGAGAGAAUCCCAAG